rnacentral:pre_miRNA from 1 species
UUGUCCGAAAACCGUUUGUCCGAAUGGUCGUUUGUCCGAAAAAUUUCGGACAAACGACCAUUCGGACAAACGACCAUUUGGACAAACG